GCAAAAGAAGCCUCUCAAGGGUUUGAAAGAGAGUAAAUUCCACGAGACAUUGAAUUUUACAUUUGGGUUGAAUUGUGGAUUGGACGAUUUUUUCAACAUUAGGCGCAUUAUAGAUGGGUUUGAAACCAAUUUUGACGUUGUUCCUAAAAUGACCCUUGAGCAAUUAUUUAGGAAAUUUACUGUCCAUAAACUAUUAUUUCUGUGUAAUGCAUAGGCCAAAUUUUGAAAAUAUAUAUAGCUUCUUUUGAGACCAGAAAAUUGUCUCUCAAGUAAAUCAAAUUGAAGUGAUUCACAUUUAAAAAUCAUCCUUUCUCUGAAACACUCAGGAAGUCUUAUGUUAAACCAUCUCUGCAAUUAAAGCAGUUGAAUGAUAUUGCGAGGAAAACACACUUGGGAAUUUAAUUGUUUUGGUUUUAUUUUCAUAAGUUUUCAAUAAUAAUAAUGCAUUUUAGAAUUUCACAAUUAAUACAGGGUCACUGCAGUUCUUUAAAUUAAUUCUUUCAAUAAUGACUUUCUAUACUUAUCAUUAUUAACGCAAGACCUCAAAAUUGAUGAGUAAAUUAAUUUUGACCGAAGGCUGUCAGCUUCAUAAAUAUUUUGUUGAUCAAUAACCAUGGGUUUGAGAAACUGAAUGUAUAACAAUAAUUCUAUUUAGAUAUUCUCAUCUUUAGCAUUAAUCAAUCGUAUGCAGUUUUUGACACGUUACACAUAUGUUUCAUAAUUCUGGGCCUUUUUAGGCACGUAAAUAUUUCAUGAGUUUCAAAUCUUAAGAGUAAAAGAGAUUGAUCUUGUUCUUGAUAUACAUCCUGCAGAUUGGACAGUGUUUCACCUGCGCAGAACAGGUCUUGCAACACACGGUGUGGCCACAGGGCACAAAUGCCACAUCUCUCUCGUCAUUGAGACAAAUGCAGCACUCCUGAAUCUCCUUGGUGCGUUUUCCCUUCCGCUUGUGGUUCAUUUCCACACUCUCAACAGCAUCACUCCACUCAGGACGGCCCUUGAAGACAUUCAUCAUAUUCUGGCCGAACGUCACAUGCAUGUUCUUCAACACUGCAGCUGCAGAACAAACAUUAUUACACUGGGACGUGGCUUCAAGAGCAGCAGUGCUUGUUGCCGUCUCAAUUUUUGGCUUCUUGGGAGCAGGAGGAAGAGGGAUAGCUUUUGAAGGGAUGGCUUUUGAAAGGUUGGCUUGCAAAGGGAGUGCGAUGGCUUGUGCAGGCCCUGAUGACAAGUCAAUGAGAGGAGGUUCUGAAUCGACCAAAUCAGUUGAAUUGGUUGCCGGCACAACAUCCAAUACUGGAAAGGAGAAAAAUGACCAUUGUAUAUUUUGUUGGACGUAGAAAUGGCUCAAAUCAUAUAAAAUGAUUUUAAUUUUAACGCAUUUAUUUUAUAUUAAUUUGUAUGUAGUAUCCUAUUUAGCUUCUUCAAAGAGGAAAAAAGGUAAAGAGGAUCUGUGAAAAAAUUUCAACAGAAUAUUACAAAAGAAAAAGAACACUGACAAGGAAAUUCUUAAGGAUGUGUGCACAAAGAUCAGCAUGUUUCUGCAAAAAACCCAAUGCGUUGCAACAAACUGUCUGUUGCGGAUUUUACUGCAAAUUUGCGCAUUUUUCGAAAACAUGUAUUUUUAUUGAAGAUCAAAAAUUGUCAUUAUGGAUAAUCAAAUAAAAGGGAUUUUUAAAAAGGCAGUUAAAAA